rnacentral:precursor_RNA from 1 species
GGACUGCCAUUCCAUGUAACUACUAUCGAUCUAGACAAGGGUUCGGAGAGUCAUCGUUGAAGCGUUGGAUCGCGCGAUGACGGAGCGGAGCAGCAGCCACAAGACGGUCUAGCGCGAGGAGGGGGUGGAGCUCGUGCUGCUGCGCCUCUCUUCCGACUCGUCGCUGUCCGUAGGACAUUGAUCCUUCUCUAUGACUAGACAAGACUUGUGGAAUUAUGCUAGUCUGGAGUAGGCACACCGACCCGCGGAUUAGAGAACACGAGAACGAUUACGCCGUGCUGAAUUUCUCUCUGGUAUCUCCAAUUUGUAUGCACAUCUGCGUCGGAAUGAAGUCCGCUUCGAGUUGUUAGUACAUAGUUUUCCAUACCAUUCAGUAAAAUUCUCGUGAAUUAAGCCCUAUGUUCUUGAAUGCAAAGUUGAUACAGUUCUUCGCCUGGCUGCAAGCGUCAUGGAUGGUGACCACGUUUCAGAUAUCUGCAACAACAGUGAGAGUCAGUCUCGAGCGAUUGUAGGAAUGGGUAUGAUUGAGAUGUUCCACUUCCACGCCUAGGCCAGGAAUCCGAGCUGGCAAAGCUCGUGUAGAUAUCUACGUAUCGGUGUUAUUGCUGAUUAUUUCCCAUUCUUGAACCUGUAAUGAAGGCCCGGAGUAAGUACCCUCUGAGGCUUCAGGUGGGAGAGGGUUGCAGAGUGGUUUUGGAAUUUGCACUUGCUUUUAAAUCCCAAAACUACUCUGAUCCCCUCUCUCUCUCCACUGAAGCCACUGAGAAUCUUUGAUACUAAACUUGCUUUCCUGGCUGUACUCGUCCCUUCGAAAUUGUAUGCGCGACUGUGAAGAAGAUCUUCUAGUGCGGUGUGUGAAGUGCUUCUCCUUCUAGAGACCGACAGAUGCUUGAGAUCUCCGAAGCGCGCGAGGUGACGGAUCUCGUUCACGUGAAACCGUGGAUUUUUUAAGAGCUUUCGACAACUUCAAGGAUAUGAUGCUCUACUGAGAAGCUCGUACAAGGACGCAUCCUCGCGAACUGUUUCUUCCUUGCACUUCUUCUGCCUUUCAAAAUUAUCUGCAGGUGUGAUUUGAUGCCUUUCCAUGGCAUAGAUGGUCUACAAAAGUACUGGUUUAGAUGUUGUUGUGAGCACUCGCUCUGAAGAGCCGCAUCCGAGUGGGUGGUAAGCAGUACGCGCUCGACUACCCUAUCAACACAGCCGUAUCGGUGCGCAAUAGUAAUCACAACGUUGACGACAUCGACUUUAACUCUCGAGGGUCCGACGCUCCUGCAUAGUCUUCUGUAUGAGCCGCGGACUUCUCCUCAGCAACUUCGGAACCUCUUCGCAUCGCCAAAUCGACUCUGGAUGAGCAUCGGUUCGUGUUAUGCGUGGCAGCAGAUGUUUGCAUGAUAGAAGUCUCCGACCAUCGGUGCGGAAACUGAUGCUUCACGCGGAGCGAUCCACGCAAUUAAUUUUGUUCAUAUAGAAGACUAGAGAAUCGAUGCUGGGGGGUAGCAGAUCGUGUGUUUGUUUAUUUAUAAAUUGCAGAUCGGUUGGUACUUACCCAUUGAGAGACAUGAAGUUGGGAUAAAUGUAUUUAUAUGUAUUACUUUUGUCAUGACUGUUCCUGGUAUGGAAUUUGUCAUGAAUGUGUCUGGAAUGAGUGACACGUAUGAAAGCUCAAAGUGAUUGAGUUAACAAACCCUUGAAAAUGUAAUCCAUUUCUGAACUUCCUUUAAUUGAAAGUUAAAAUGAGUGGGGGAUACCUCUGU